rnacentral:rRNA from 1 species
AUCUUAUAUCAAAUGGAUGUGAAAAGUGCAUUCCUCAAUGGUAAGCUUGAGGAAGAAGUAUAUGUUGCUCAACCCCUAGGUUUUGAAGAUCCAAAGAAUCCUGACAAAGUCUUCAGACUCAAUAAGGCCCUCUACGGCCUCAAGCAAGCCCCUCGGGCGUGGUAUGAUACAUUGAAGGAAUUCUUCGUGAAGAAUGGCUUCACACCCGGUUCACUCGACCCUACUCUUUUUACUAAAUCAUAUGAUGGUGAACUGUUUGUGUGCCAAAUAUAUGUUGAUGAUAUUAUCUUUGGCUGUACUAACCAACGUUAUAGUGAU